AUAAAGCUAGGUUACCGAAGUUA
rnacentral:miRNA from 1 species